rnacentral:rRNA from 1 species
GGUUAAGCGACUAAGCGUACACGGUGGAUGCCCUGGCAGUCAGAGGCGAUGAAGGGCGUGCUAAUCUGCGAUAAGCGCCGGUAAGGUGAUAUGAACCGUUAUAACCGGCGAUACCCGAAUGGGGAAACCCAGUGUGAUUCGUCACACUAUCAUUAACUGAAUCCAUAGGUUAAUGAGGCGAACCGGGGGAACUGAAACAUCUAAGUACCCCGAGGAAAAGAAAUCAACCGAGAUUCCCCCAGUAGCGGCGAGCG